AUAGGGAGCAGUGCAGUGCUUGAGCUCUUUGUGCAAAUAGCGGGAGCCCUGGAAAAUCUAUCGCGUUACCGUACAUGUCAAGGACGAGAACGAGAGUGUGGACGAAAUAGGCGUCCGAACUGUCUUGAAAAAAACCAUCAACCCUACUUCCAAUGCAGCCUGAUGAAUGAACAUUGUGAAGUUGCUUGGAAAUCAUAUUGCAGACGACCUUAUUUCCUGACAUGCUAUGAUGGGUAUACAUAUUGCGACUGCGUAUGUGUACGCCCACGAAGACCCAGAGGAGUGCCUCGGUAACGAUGUCGAACAACCUCUUAAACAUCUCAAGGAGUUUGUGUGGCGCAUGAUUUUCUCCGUGGAGUGUUGCACAUCAGAGCAGCCCUUGGUCUGCCUAAUUGCAAGCAAUAAAGGAUGACCUUUCGUA